rnacentral:misc_RNA from 1 species
GUUACAAAAGAACUGUACCACUUGCAAAGCUCAGCGGGGAAGUUAUCUGAUACUGCAGAUGAGGUUGAAAUUAUUCCCCCUGGUUUAGAAGAUCUGUCAAGGUGUAAAUUGAGAAACCUGUCAUUUAAGGCCAGAUAUAUAGAGGAACCCCAAAUGGGAAACUUCGGUCCUCGGGGGGCGAAAGGAGAUGGAUAUUCUCAGUUUCGUCCAAUGGAGUCCAAAAUUGAAGCACACAAAUUUGGAUUUGAUCAACUGAAUUUCAGUCGCAAAUUGAGUGCCAAGUUACCGGUUGAAACAUACAGAGCAGCAUGCUGGAGCCCUCCCCCAACAAAUUGGGUCAAGUUGAACGUGGCUGGGAAGUCUAAGGGAAGUUCAGGCGUUGCUGGAGCAAGUGGAAUUAUACGAAAUGAAUCUGGCAAAUGGGUUGUUGGCUAUACUCUCAACUUGCAUGGUCAAACAAGUUCAGGAG